GAGUUUGAUCUUGGCUCAGAGUGAACGCUGGCGGUAGGCCUAACACAUGCAAGUCGAACGGCAGCACAGUAAGAGCUUGCUCUUAUGGGUGGCGAGUGGCGGACGGGUGGGGAAUACAUCGGAAUCUACUUUUUCGUGGGGGAUAACGUAGGGAAACUUACGCUAAUACCGCAUACGACCUACGGGUGAAAGCAGGGGAUCUUCGGACCUUGCGCGAUUGAAUGAGCCGAUGUCGGAUUAGCUAGUUGGCGGGGUAAAGGCCCACCAAGGCGACGAUCCGUAGCUGGUCUGAGAGGAUGAUCAGCCACACUGGAACUGAGACACGGUCCAGACUCCUACGGGAGGCAGCAGUGGGGAAUAUUGGACAAUGGGCGCAAGCCUGAUCCAGCCAUACCGCGUGGGUGAAGAAGGCCUCGGUUGUAAG
rnacentral:rRNA from 1 species